GAUGAACGCUGACAGAAUGCUUAACACAUGCAAGUCAUUGGCGAAGCUGCGCUUGCGCAGUCUAGCCAAGGCGGACGGGUGAGUAACGCGUAAGGAACUUGCUCUGCAGACCGGGAUAACAGACGGAAACGACUGAUAACACCUGGUAUUGUCAGGCUGGCGCAUGCCGGCCUGAUGAAAGGAGAGGCUGCAGGAGAGCCUUGCGUCCUAUUAGCUAGUUGGUGGGGUAACGGCACACCAAGGCGAUGAGAGGUAGCCGGCCUGAGAGUGUGAAGGGCCAUUAGGGGACUGAUAUACGGCCCUUACUCCUGCGGGGGGCAGCAGGGGGGAAUAGUGGACAGGGGGGACAACCCUUAUCCAGCAAUUCUGUGUGCACUAAGAAGGUUUUCGGAGUGUAAAGUGCUUGCAGCAGAGAAAAAGAAAGUGACGGUACUGGCAAAAGAAGCAACGGCUAAAUACGUG
rnacentral:rRNA from 1 species